rnacentral:rRNA from 2 species
AAAUUGAAGAGUUUGAUCAUGGCUCAGAUUGAACGCUGGCGGCAGGCCUAACACAUGCAAGUCGAACGGUAACAGGAAGCAGCUUGCUGCUUCGCUGACGAGUGGCGGACGGGUGAGUAAUGUCUGGGAAACUGCCUGAUGGAGGGGGAUAACUACU